CGAAGGGGGCUAGCGUUGUUCGGAUUUACUGGGCGUAAAGCGCACGUAGGCGGAUUGUUAAGUCAGGGGUGAAAUCCUGGAGCUCAACUCCAGAACUGCCUUUGAUACUGGCAAUCUAGAGUCCGGAAGAGGUGAGUGGAACUCCUAGUGUAGAGGUGGAAUUCGUAGAUAUUAGGAAGAACACCAGUGGCGAAGGCGGCUCACUGGUCCGGUACUGACGCUGAAGGUGCGAAAGCGUGGGGAGCAAACAGGAUUAGAUACCCUGGUAGUCCACGCCGUAAACUAUGGAAGCUAGCCGUUGGGGAGUUUACUCCUCAGUGGCGCAGCUAACGCAUUAAGCUUCCCGCCUGGGGAGUACGGUCGCAAGAUUA
rnacentral:rRNA from 1 species